rnacentral:tRNA from 1 species
GUCCCUCGCUUACACCGAGAAAAUAUCCGUGAGACUCGGAUUGUUUUGA